CACCUGUAAUUCCAGCAACUCAGGAAGCUGGGGCAGGAGAAUGGCAAGUUUGAAACCAGCCUCAGUAAUUUAAGGAGGCCUUAAGCAACUUAGCAAGACCCUGUCUCAAAAUAAAAAACAAAAAAGAUGGGUAUGUAGGUCAGUGGAAAAGUUCCGUGGGUUUAAUCCCCCCCCAAAAAAAUUAAAAAUAAUAAAAAAAAAGAUCUCUCUACUUAAUACCCUUUCCUACACUUUGGACUAACUACCUUCUACUCAAGUCAACUUAUAUGUAAAAAGAGGUGGCUCCUUGCAACCUCCCCAGGAGCCACCAGUCUGAUCUGAGUGUUCUUUUAUGAUAUACCCAUAGCUCCUGCCCUGAAGUUGCCUUCUUGUUACCCCUCUAGACUGAAGACUCUCCAAGGGGGGACUUUGCCUUAUGUCUUACUCAUCCCGUACCUGCAGAGUAUAGCACUGUGCCUAGAACAUGGUAGAUGUUUCACAAAUGUGUGCUGAGCUAGACUGAGCUCAGGCUGCCUCUGUUAGCUCUAUCUGGACCUGCCAAGGCCCUGACUAUAGUCAUUCUAGACCACCCCAGUGCACAGCCAUUUCUUUCUUCCCGGAAUUCCCUCAACACAAGGAAUCUGCCACUCAUUUAAUAAUUA
rnacentral:lncRNA from 1 species